UACGUAGGGACCAAGCGUUGUUCGGAUUUACUGGGCGUAAAGGGCGCGUAGGCGGCUUGUCAAGUCACUUGUGAAAUCUCUGGGCUUAACCCAGAACGGCCAAGUGAAACUGACAUGCUAGAGUGCAGAAGGGGCAAUCGGAAUUCUUGGUGUAGCGGUGAAAUGCGUAGAUAUCAAGAGGAACACCUGAGGUGAAGACGGGUUGCUGGGCCAACACUGACGCUGAUGCGCGAAAGCCAGGGGAGCAAACGGG
rnacentral:rRNA from 1 species